rnacentral:rRNA from 1 species
GCCCUUAACGCGAAGAACCUUACCUGGCCUUGACAUCCAGAGAACUUAGCAGAGAUGCUUUGGUGCCUUCGGGAACUCUGAGACAGGUGCUGCAUGGCUGUCGUCAGCUCGUGUUGUGAAAUGUUGGGUUAAGUCCCGCAACGAGCGCAACCCUUAUCCUUUGUUGCCAGCAUUCAGUUGGGCACUCUAGAGUGACUGCCGGUGACAAACCGGAGGAAGGUGGGGAUGACGUCAAGUCAUCAUGCCCCUUAUGACCUGGGCUACACACGUGCUACAAUGGCGCAUACAAAGAGAAGCGACCUCGCGAGAGCAAGCGGACCUCAUAAAGUGCGUCGUAGUCCGGAUUGAAGUCUGCAACUCGACUCCAUGAAGUCGGAAUCGCUAGUAAUCGUAGAUCAGAAUGCUACGGUGAAUACGUUCCCGGGCCUUGUACACACCGAAGGGC